rnacentral:lncRNA from 1 species
GAGUUCUCACGAGAUCUGAUGGUUUUAUAAGACUCUCUUCCUCGUUGCCUUCUCUCUCUCUCUCCUGCCACCUUGUGAAGAAGUUGUCUGCUUCCCCUUUGCUUUCUGCCAUGAUUGCAAGUUUCCUGAAGUCUCCCCAGCCAUUCAGAAUUAUUCAGUAUUUUCUCCCUGUGUGUGAAUGACAAAAGUAUUUACCUUGAUCACAUUGCUACAGUUGGAAGAGCUUCUAUAAGGAACCUCUCUGGGAGGCUCAUUAUCGGGAAAAUCACAAUCGAAGAGGAUAUCACAGUCCUGCAAUAUAG